GUCAUAUUCCGGCUCCCAGCCUCACUCUGCAGGCGGCGCGCGAGGGAGCUGAGCAGAUAGCUCAGGGGAAAGUGCUCCCUCGCCAGCGCCGCCCGACCAACCACCUGCCCGGACUGUUAGCCGCAAGGCUAACAAGACAUUUGCCCUGGGCAUUUGGGGGCGGCAUUUUUUGCCGCCCCCUGAAAAAUGACGCCCAAGGCAA